GCAGUCGAACGGCAGCGGCAUCUAGCUUGCUAGGUGGCCGGCGAGUGGCGAACGGGUGAGUAACGCGUGGGGAUCUACCCUGAAGUGCGGGACAACUCGAGGAAACUCAAGCUAAUACCGCAUAUGACCUGAGGGUCAAAGAGUGCCUCUGUUUCAUGCACUCGCUUUAGGAGGAACCUGCGUUCCAUUAACUUGUUGGUGGGGUAAAGGCCUACCAAGGCGACAAUCGAUAGCUGUUCUGAGAGGAAGAUCAGCCACACUGGGACUGAGACACGGCCCACACUCCUACGGGAGGCAGCAGGGGGGAAUAUUGGACAAUGGGGGCAACCCUGAUCCGGCGAUGCCGCGUGUGUGAAGAAGGCCUGCGGGUUGUAAAGCACUUUCCUUGGGGAGGAAAAGCUUAGUGUUAAGAGCACUGAGCCUUGACGUUACCCAAAUAAUAAGCACCGGCUAACUCUGUGCCAGCACCCGCGGUAAUACAUAGGGUGCAAGCGUUAAUCGGAAUUACUGGGCGUAAA
rnacentral:rRNA from 1 species